rnacentral:rRNA from 1 species
UACGUAGGGGGCAAGCGUUGUCCGGAAUUAUUGGGCGUAAAGCGCGCGCAGGCGGUCAUGUAAGUCUGGUGGUUAAUCCCGGGGCUCAACCCCGGAUCGCACUGGAAACUGCGUGACUUGAGUGCAGAAGAGGAGAGUGGAAUUCCACGUGUAGCGGUGAAAUGCGUAGAGAUGUGGAGGAACACCAGUGGCGAAGGCGACUCUCUGGGCUGUAACUGACGCUGAGGCGCGAAAGCGUGGGGAGCAAACAGG